AAAGAUUAAGCCAUGCAUGUCUAAGUAUAAGCAAUUAUACAGCGAAACUGCGAAUGGCUCAUUAUAUAAGUUAUCGUUUAAUUGAUAGUACCUUACUACUUGGAUAACCGUGGUAAUUCUAGAGCUAAUACAUGCUAAAAUCCCGACUUCGGAAGGGAUGUAUUUAUUAGAUUAAAAACCAAUGCCCUCUGGGCUCCUUGGUGAUUCAUGAUAACUCUUCGAAUCGCACGGCCUUGCGCCGGCGAUGGUUCAUUCAAAUUUCUUCCCUAUCAACUUUCGAUGUUUGGGUAUUGGCCAAACAUGGUUGCAACGGGUAACGGAGGGUUAGGGCUCGACCCCGGAGAAGGAGCCUGAGAAACGGCUACUACAUCCAAGGAAGGCAGCAGGCGCGCAAAUUACCCAAUCCCGAUUCGGGGAGGUAGUGACAAUAAAUACUGAUACAGGGCUCUUUUGGGUCUUGUAAUUGGAAUGAGUACAAUUUAAAUCCCUUAACGAGGAACAAUUGGAGGGCAAGUCUGGUGCCAGCAGCCGCGGUAAUUCCAGCUCCAAUAGCGUAUAUUAAAGUUGUUGUGGUUAAAAAGCUCGUAGUUGAACCUUGGGCCUGGCUGGCCGGUCCGCCUCACCGCGUGCACUGGUCCGGCCGGGCCUUUCCCUCUGUGGAACCCCAUGCCCUUCACUGGGCGUGGCGGGGAAACAGGACGUUUACUUUGAAAAAAUUAGAGUGCUCCAGGCAGGCCUAUGCUCGAAUACAUUAGCAUGGAAUAAUGAAAUAGGACGCGUGGUUCUAUUUUGUUGGUUUCUAGGACCGCCGUAAUGAUUAAUAGGGACAGUCGGGGGCAUCAGUAUUCAAUUGUCAGAGGUGAAAUUCUUGGAUUUAUUGAAGACUAACUACUGCGAAAGCAUUUGCCAAGGAUGUUUUCAUUAAUCAGGAACGAAAGUUAGGGGAUCGAAGACGAUCAGAUACCGUCGUAGUCUUAACCAUAAACUAUGCCGACUAGGGAUCGGACGAUGUUAUUUUUUGACGCGUUCGGCACCUUACGAGAAAUCAAAGUGCUUGGGCUCCAGGGGGAGUAUGGUCGCAAGGCUGAAA
rnacentral:rRNA from 1 species